UUUGAGCAUUUUUUUUGACAUUGGGUCGUUUUGUUAUUAUAAAAUUCAUCAUUGUUAAUCUUUAGACGUGAAAAUCUCAACAUCAGGCGCCUCAACAUCUUAGCUGCCGAUCAAUAAAUUUGCUGGUUGAAAAAAAUGGAAACCAAAAAAAAGGACUUUAAUCGUUUGAAAAACAACCUUGAGGAUUGGAGAGAACUGUUGGUCAUGCUCCAUGACCUGCUGCAUUGGAAGCUGCCGUACAGUCCGGUAAUAAUUGCCAAUUCAGUGACCGUGUUCUACUUGCUUCUCUGGUGGCUCGACUUAACCGUUGUUACUCAGUUUGCGCUUCUGCUUCUCACCGGAGUAUUGGGCAGUUUCUUUUAUCCAACAAUUGCAAAAGUCGUCUUCAAGCCGGAAAAAUGGGCCGGGGUUCAGGAGAAACAUUUGGAUAUUGUCGUAGGCAAGAUGCUGGAACUGUCCGAGACCAUCACCGAUUAUUGGAAUUCUACAAUCUGGAACAGACACGAAAAAUCAAUGACGCCAAAAUAUUGUCAGCUUUUCAAAGCUAGCCGAAAUGGUAUAGAACGUCUAGAAAUCAGUGACGGCGAAAGCGACAAGAAUACAAGAAUUGUUACUCUAGAAAACUGUGUUAAAAUUGUGCUUGAGCAGCCUCCAGCGAACAUUAUCAAUAUUGUUACCAAAACUGGGCAAAUUCAAUUACAUUCCAUGAAUGAUGCAAUGGCCAAACAGUGGAAGGUUGCACUACAAUCAAUAGCAUUCAAAGAGAAGCAGUCUACGAGUAAUGUUUUAUCGUGCAAUGCUGUUAUAGAAGAAGAUAAUGAUCUGUACUGCUCGUCGUAUAGUGAAGGCAUUUUUACGGUGACACUAAUACCCACGGAUGCAUCGAUGAAGUGUGGACUGGAACCUAAAAUGUACACGCUCAUGUUGUCAGGGUCCGAAAUCCAGUUGAAAUGUUAUGGAGAUGAAUCAAUUAUUAUUGCCAUGUGGCCUUACAGAUAUAUAAGGAAAUAUGGAUAUCGUGACGGUAAAUUUACGUUUGAAGCUGGUCGUAAGUGUGAUACUGGUGAAGGAACUUUUAAGCUCGACAAUGCUAAUCCGCAGGACAUUUUUAGAUGCAUGUCAACAAAAAUGAAGUCAAUGAAGAAAAACAUCACUACUGAUAGUUUCAACAGUAGCAUCGACAAUAAUCUAAGCUUAGUAUUCUCAUCACUUGAACCGGGAUCAAGAAGUCCUUUGCCACCAACGCCACAAAGUUCCUUCGUCGGUGGCGAUUGCCAUAAUCCGUUCCGUGCGGUUCUUACUUCGCCGGAUAUAAGCAAUUCUUCUGCAAUCAAAAGUUCUAUUCCUAAUAAACCUCCUCGGAAAGCACCGCCAUCAGUAACAAGUCAUCAUAUAUCUGCCAAGGCAUCCACAGAACAACGAAGCCAUUCAGUACUCUCAAACAUAUCAUCAGUAUUCAUCAAAAGUCAUAAUGGUAUCGAUGACGCCAACGGGCUAAUCGAUGUCACAAAUCAUCCUGUGCCAUUACCUUGUGAAGGUAACCGUGAUUAUGAAUGUGUGGAGGACAUAACCGAUGCCUGGAAAAAACUGGGAAUUGACGAUGUUAAUCAUACUGAACAUAUAACCACAACGGAGGGAGAUGAACUGUCAGGGUUUAUAAGUGAAAGAUCUAAAUCAUCCAAAGAUCUGAAAUCAAAAUAUCAUCACGAAAGUAGUUGUGCCACUGUAGAAUCCUCAAUGCAAAAUCCGAUGGACGAAAGCUACGACACCUUGGACUUUUUCCGCACAAGCCAUAAAGUAAGCUCCGGCUAUACAACUAUUGUGCCAAUCACCACUAACAAUAAGUUAUUGGCUCAAUCGUCCAAUUCUUCGGAUGACUACGAAAUCAUUGGAGAACCUGCUGCUACUUCGACAAUGUCUCGUAACUAUAGUAGCAGCAGCACGCUCAUAGUUGAAGGUUUCGACAGUAAUGCCAAUCAAAUGUCCCUGGUGCCACCGGAUAUGUCUGUGUGUAGGAAAGCUGAUGACAGUUAUCUUGGCUACGGAAUGAUUCGCAAAUCAAGUAUACAGAACUCAUCGUCUAGCGUUUGUACCACUUCAAUGAAUCCGUUCAAAAAUGACGAGCCGGAUAAAAUUCAUCGGUUGGAUUACGCUACGCUCCAGAAAGAACAACAAACAGCUCUAAAAGAUAAAGAAAGUAUCGUAAUGAGAUUUGCGAUUGUGGAAAAAAAUCUAAUAGAUUUGAAAAGUCAACUAGAACAAGCUGAUAAGCGUGAGAAGAAAAUGCACAAGGAAUUUGAUAUGCUAAAUGACAAACUUAAAACAGUUAAAGAUGAUAAAACCCGCAUUUCUACUGCAUUGGAUGUUAAAACACAAGAACACAAGAACAGCCUCAAGGAUAUUGAAAAAUUAAAAAUAGACAUUUCUUCGCUGGAAACUAAAUGUAAAUGGAACACGGUAAAACUAAGACAGGAAAUUGAAACUAAAAAUGUGCUUGAAAAGGAGUUACAGGAGCUGAAGAACGCAGAGAUUAAUACCAAAACAGAGUCUGAAGAUUUCAGCGUGGAAAAAAUUGCAGAGCUUAAGGCUAGUCAAAUAACGCUGAAACAUGUGAAUCUUGAGCAAGCAAACAAAAUAUCUAUAAUUGAGCAAAGAUUGGAAAACACUAGUAAGGAAAUGCACGCAAUGAGAUUGCUAUUAGCAGAUUGCACGCAGGAAAAAGGCAAUUUAAACGACGAACUUCAAGAAUGUCAUCUGGAGAAUUUAAAACUACAAAAUGUUGUUGAUGCAAAUGUUCUUAAAAUAGCUGAGCUACAAUCAAAUCUAAAUGAUCUGGCAGCGCUUCGAGCACAAUUGUCAAUAGCCAACGACACAAAUAAGCAUCUUGAAGAUCAAUUAAGGGGUAUCGAAAUACAGCUUAGCGAUCAAGCAGCAGACGUCGCUAGAUUUCACCAAAGAGAAUCAGAGUUAUUGACAUUGAAUGGAGAGCUAAGCGCUUUGAACGCCACAUUGCAAAAUGAGAUUUCAUUGCAUAAGUCCAAAAGUUUAGCUAUGUCAUUAGAAAAUGAUUCUGUUAAAAAAACGCGUAUGGACUUCGAAAUUAAUAUAACAAAGCUGCAAGCGGAGUUGGACCAUGAGAGAAGAAGCAGAGCAGACGAACGAAUAAUGAUGGCACGACACUUAGCUGAAAAAUCUAAAGAUUGUGAUCAUUAUCAGCAAAGACUAGAUCAAGUAUUAGGAGAUCUAGAAGUAGUAAAGAAGAAAAAUGCAUCAAUAGUAAAGGAUCUCCAACGUGAAAUUGCUGUUUUGCAAAAAUCAUCUCUAAAGUCAGAAAAUGUGCCAGCCAAUGUGAAUACUUAUAAAGAUAUUCAAUCUAAAUCUUCCAUAGGCGAAUCCGAUGAACAGACAAUUAUGUUUGAAGAAAAGGAACCGUCUACAUCAAAACUUAUCGAAAGGAUAAUUCGGUUGCAACAUGCUAAUAAUCGACAAGCGGAAAAAAUAGACUUUUUGGAAAACCAUUCAUCGACCUUAGUUACAGAAUUGCAGAAAAAGACAAAGAUUGUUCAACAUUACAUGAUGAAAGAACAGUCAACCUCAAUGCCUUCGGGAGAUAAAAAUAAGUUGUACAACGGCAUAAUGCAUGCAAUAUACGGAAAUGUCAAAACUUCAGAUAUGAAUUUAGAACUUGUUUUGGAGAUCAAUAAGAAACUUCAAUCCGUGUUAGAAGACACUUUGCUGAAGAACAUCACGCUUAAGUCUCCACAUAUAGUUGUACGCAUAGAUGUAAACGGAAGAAAACUCCAUCAGCAUCAACUCUAAGUUUAACGCCUGCGCAAGACAGAUUUGAAGAUACGGAAGCUGUAAGAUUAAGACUGUCCAGAAACGAUAACCCAUUCAUUCAGAAGGUUCUAGCAAGUAGAGAAAGUGUGCUAGAUUAUACUGACGACACAGAGUCCGAUGAUGCUAUUUUGAUUUUAAUGACACAGGAUAACGGCAACACUUCCGAGACUUAUGACGACAAUCCACUUAGUUUAAGAGAAGGAUUGAAAGGAAAUGUGCAACCAGACACCUGAGAAUGUGGUCCAUGGAGUGAGGUUGGGUUUCUGGCACUCGACCUACUAAAACCAAAGUUUGCAUCAGUCGAUCCCUCCUGCCAUCUAUCAAGCAAUACUUCAAGGGAGCUAUUGAGCCAAUGCUCGCACUUGGUGUGCACAACAUACAGCUAAAGCAAAUUUGACCCCUAUAUCAUCACGCUCACCAACGCUGGACUAAUUGGACCAACGUUCAUCAGCAUAUGGAGUUACUGCCGGUAAUCCCCACAGACUGACGGUUCGCACUCCAACUGCAGACACCUUUUUGCCGAAAAAAGGAUAUCCCCCAUGCAAUGUGUACAACUUCCUGAAAGCCGUAACGAGGCCAACCACUGUGAGGGCACUGAAGCACACCACAGGCUCUGUUAACGAUCUAGUAUUUGUUUUACCCCCUUUCCAUUCAUCACUCCGGCACGGUUUGCAUGACAUUUUUGGAUGACAGGGUGUCUGCAAAUUAUCCGUAGAAUAAGAAAGGUUGAUAAUUAUGUUUUGGAACAAAUAAAAAACCAGAAUGCUUUGCAUGUUACACGAUAAAUAUUAUCGCUGUCCGGAACAUCUUUUGCUGGCGAGGAUAGGUUGCUAAAUGUCAAUAAAGGAAAAAUACAUACGAUUUGACAGUUAGGUACCACACAUGUUACGCAGAACAAAGGGAACCGAAGCAACAAUCUUUAUCUUGUAACUGAAAUAUCUUUUAUUAAAACUGAUAAUAAGGCUUUCUGACGUUUAUUAUCUUUCUCUUGCACGCUCGCGGAGAGAAUAGGAUUUGUUUUCAUCGAGAAACGCUUCCGAAGCGUUUCCAAAUGAAAGAAAAUCCUAUCCUUUCUGUGCACGUGCAAAAUAACGAUGAUUUAACGUCAUCAAGCUUUGAUCAGAUGUACACUGUAAACACCUUUUCCAAGUAGGGGAACCCAGGGCAAGAGGACACCUCAGGCUGUUAACCAUUCCUCCGAUUCGUUCAUCUAGGCUAGUACGCUGCUGAAAAGUACUGUGCAAAAAGAUAGGACACGGAAUGAUACGGAAUGAUUCCGCUACUGAAAUUCCGUAAGCAGCACGGGGCUGAAAAGUAGAGACAAUUUCGUAAUGCUAAUAACUAUAGACACUGUAGAUUCCAUAGACGAGCUGAGGCGAAGACGAGUGUAGCCAAACGAACUGUUAGUUAGUGUAACCAAACGAGCAUGACGUCACAAUGAAUCGACUGCUUUGAGCGUGCUUACAGCGGCACACUAGGAGUUAACUUUCUGAAAUCAGUAUGGCGAAAGGCAUCUAAUGUUCGAUUUCUCAAAAUUAAGCACUUUAAUCGAAAAAAUAUUUGGUAGGCGUAGUAGCGGAUACCAUCCCUCAUAACCGGUACCAAAUAGUUUUUCAUGAAAAGUUCCUAAUUUUGAGAAAACAAGCGUUAGAUGUCUUUCGCCAUACAAAUUUCUGGCGGUUAACUCUUGCUGGCUAUUUUGUGCAUAUACUAUAGCGCCUGGAUGUGGCUACGGCGGGUAGAAAAUCAGCCACUGCCAAUAAUUCAUUGCAAUCCAAGCAACAGAGCGAGUGA